GCAGUCGAGCGGACAGAUGGGAGCUUGCUCCCUGAUGUCAGCGGCGGACGGGUGAGUAACACGUGGGUAACCUGCCUGUAAGACUGGGAUAACUCCGGGAAACCGGGGCUAAUACCGGAUGCUUGAUUGAACCGCAUGGUUCAAUUAUAAAAGGUGGCUUUUACCUACCACUUACAAAUGGACCCGCGGCGCAUUACCUAGUUGGGGAGGUAACGGCUCACCAAGGCAACAAUGCGUACCCAACCUGAAAGGGGGAUCGGCCACCCGGGAACUGAAACACGGCCCAAACUCCUACGGAAGGCACCAUUAGGGAAUCUUCCGCAUGGAACAAAAGUCUGACGAACCACCGCCCCGGGAGUGAUGAAGGUUUUCGAAUCGUAAAACUCUGUUGUUAGGGAAAAACAAGUACCGUUCGAAUAGGGCGGUACCUUGACGGUACCUAACCAAAAAGCCACGGCUAACUACUUGCCACCAGCCGCGGUAUUACUUAGGUGGCAAGCGUUGUCCGGAAUUAUGGGGCGUAAAGCGCGCGCAGGCGGUUUCUUAGUUCGAAUGUGAAAGCCCCCGGCUCACCCG
rnacentral:rRNA from 1 species